AGCAACGCCGCGUGAGUGAUGAAGGAUUUCGGUUCGUAAAGCUCUGUUGUUAGGGAAGAACAAGUGCCGUUCGAAUAGGGCGGCACCUUGACGGUACCUAACCAGAAAGCCACGGCUAACUACGUGCCAGCAGCCGCGGUAAUACGUAGGUGGCAAGCGUUGUCCGGAAUUAUUGGGCGUAAAGCGCGCGCAGGCGGUCUUUUAAGUCUGAUGUGAAAGCCCACGGCUCAACCGUGGAGGGUCAUUGGAAACUGGGAGACUUGAGUACAGAAGAGGAGAGUGGAAUUCCACGUGUAGCGGUGAAAUGCGUAGAUAUGUGGAGGAACACCAGUGGCGAAGGCGACUCUCUGGUCUGUAACUGACGCUGAGGCGCGAAAGCGUGGGGAGCAAACAGGAUUAGAUACCCUGGUAGUCCACGCCGUAAACGAUGAGUGCUAGGUGUUAGGGGUUUCGAUGCCCUUAGUGCCGAAGUUAACACAUUAAGCACUCCGCCUGGGGAGUACGACCGCAAGGUUGAAACUCAAAGGAAUUGACGGGGGCCCGCACAAGCAGUGGAGCAUGUGGUUUAAUUCGAAGCAACGCGAAGAACCUUACCAGGUCUUGACAUCCUUUGACCACCCUAGAGAUAGGGCUUUCCCCUUCGGGGGACAAAGUGACAGGUGGUGCAUGGUUGUCGUCAGCUCGUGUCGUGAGAUGUUGGGUUAAGUCCCGCAACGAGCGCAACCCUUGAUCUUAGUUGCCAGCAUUCAGUUGGGCACUC
rnacentral:rRNA from 1 species